rnacentral:rRNA from 1 species
UGAAGUAAGUAAGGGCGUACGGUGAAUGCCUUGGUGCCAACAGGCGAAGAAGGACGCGGCAAGCUGCGAAAAGCCUCGGGAAGCUGCAAGCAAGCGAUGAUCCGGGGAUAUCCGAAUGGGGUAACCUGAUCGAGGCAAUACUCGAUCGUUCAUACCUGAAUACAUAGGGUAUGAAACGCGAAACCCGCUGAAGUGAAACAUCUCAGUAAGCGGAGGAAAAGAAAGAGAAAUCGAUUCCGUAAGUAGUGGCGAGCGAAAGCGGAUGGAGCCCAAACCGAAGGUAUUCCUUCGGGGUUGUAGGACCACGUCAUAUUCGACCAUACUGGAUAGUAGAACAGCCUGGAAAGGCUGGCCGGAGAAGGUGAAAGCCCUGUAGACGAAAUCCAGAGUGGGAAUUAGUGGUAUCCUGAGUAAUACAUCACACGUGGAACGAUGUAUGAACCCGCGCGGACCACCGCGCAAGGCUAAAUACUAGUUGGCGACCGAUAGUGAACAAGUACCGUGAGGGAAAGGUGAAAAGAACCCCUGGCGGGGAGUGAAAUAGAACCUGAAACCGUAUGUCUACAAAGUGUCAGAGCAGAGCAAUCUGCGAUGGCGUGCCUUUUGUUUAAUGAGUCUGCGAGUCAGUGUUUGUGGCAAGACUAAGGGCUUCCGGCCCGGAGUCGCAGCGAAAGCAAGUCCGAACAGGGCGCAAUAAGUCGCAGGUACUGGACCCGAAGCGGAGGUGACCUACCCUUGGCCAGGUUGAAGCAUGGGUAAAACCAUGUGGAGGACCGAACAGGUGAACGUUGAAAAGUUCUCUGAUGAGCUGAGGGUAGGAGUGAAAGGCUAAUCAAACCCCGUGAUAGCUGGUUCUCUUCGAAAUGCAUUUAGGUGCAGCGUCACGUGCUGAUGCGCGGGGGUAGAGCACUGACAAGGCUAGGGGGCACACCCGCUUACCAAACCUUAUCAAACUCCGAAUACCGUGCAAUGGAACGUGGCAGUGAGACAGUGGGGGAUAAGCUUCAUUGUCGAGAGGGAAACAACCCAGACCAGCAGCUAAGGUGCCUAAAUAACGCUCAGUGGAAAGGAUGUGGGAUUACACAGACAGUGAGGAUGUUGGCUUAGAAGCAGCCACCAUUUAAAAAAUGCGUAAUAGCUUACUCAUCGAGUGAUCCUGCGCCGAAAAUGAUUGGCGAUCAAGCGUUAUACCGAAGCUCUGGACUUUGCCGCAAGGCAGAGUGGUAGAAGAGCGUUGCAUGCGCGUCGAAGGGCGAUGGCGACUGACCCUGGAGCACAUGCAAGUGAGUAUGCAGACAUGAGUAACGUUAAGCCGGGUGAAAUCCCCGGCCGCCGUAAACCCGAGGUUUCCAGGGCAACGUGUUUCGUCCCUGGGUUAGCCGGGACCUAAGCCGAGGCCGAGAGGCGUAGGCGAUGGACAUCAGGUUAAUAAUCCUGAGCUCGCAACCCUUAAACUGGGGGGACGCAUGAGAAAAGAUGACUAGGUUAUUGAAUUCCGAGUUGAGUCUACGGACUCAGCGCAUCAUUGGAUCGAGUGCCAAGAAAAGCCCCAGCGUAUGCUAAGCGACCCGUACCGCAAACCGACACAGGUGGGUGGGUAGAAUAUACCAAGGCGUAAGAGUGAAACCUGGUUAAGGAACUCGGCAAAUUAGCCCCGUAACUUCGGAAGAAGGGGUGCCUGCAGCGAUGCAGGCCGCAGAGAAAUGGCCCAACCGACUGUUUAUCAAAAACACAGCACUCUGCAAAGACGCAAGUCGAAGUAUAGGGUGUGACACGUGACCAAUGCCGAAAGAUUAAGGCAAGGGGUUAGCCGCAAGGCGAAGCUCUAAACCCAAGUCCCGGUGAAUGUCGGCCGUAACUAUAACGGUCCUAAGGUAGCGAAAUUCCUUGUCGGGUAAGUUCCGACCUGCACGAAUCGUGAAACGAGUUGGGCACUGUCUCAACCAGGCGCUCAGUGAAAUUGUAGUGGCGGUGAAGAUGCCGCCUACCCGCAGAAGGACGGAAAGACCCUAUAGACCUUAACUGUAAGCUGUCAUUGUUUCUUCGGUUUUAAUGCUCAGAGUAAGUGGGAGACGCUGAAGACGCCCUUUAGGGGGCGUCCGAGUCAUCAAUGAGACACCACCCUUUGAAACUGGAGGAUCUAACCCUGAGCCGUGAAUCCGGCCAGAGGACCGUGUCAGCCGGUCAGUUUUACUGGGGCGGUAUCCUCCCAAAGAGUAACGGAGGAGCGCGAAGGUGGGCUCAGCCCGGUUGGCAACCGGGUGUCGAGUGCAUGGGCAUAAGCCCGCCUAACUGUGAGACCAACAAGUCGAGCAGAUGCGAAAGCAGGCCCAAGUGAUCCGGCGGUAGAAAGUGGAAUUGCCGUCGCUCAACGGAUAAAAGGUACCUUAGGGAUAACAGGCUGAUCACGCCCAAGAGUUCAUAUCGACGGCGUGGUUUGGCACCUCGAUGUCGGCUCGUCGCAUCCUGGGGCUGGAGAAGGUCCCAAGGGUCCGGCUGUUCGCCGGUUAAAGCGGCACGCGAGCUGGGUUCAGAACGUCGCGAGACAGUUCGGUCCUCUAUCCUCUGUGGGCGUUGGAAAAUUGAGGGGUUCAGACCUUAGUACGAGAGGACCGGGUCUGACGCACCACUGGUGCAUCGGUUGUACUGUCAAGUGCAUGGCCGAGUAGCUAAGUGCGGACGGGAUAAGCGCUGAAAGCAUCUAAGCGCCAAGCCCUUCCCAAGAUGAGUUUUCCCUACAGGUUCGUGGAAGACCACCACGUUGAUAGGUCGCAGGUGUAAGUGCAGCAAUGUAUUGAGCCGAGCGAUACUAAUUACCAAUUGACUUCAUCAU